GCCCACGAGGUGGUUCCACACCAAAAUGCAAGUUUGGAGAAGCACCCCAAAAGGUGCCGGGGCUUCUCCCGUUUUUCCAGAGACGGGAGAAGG
rnacentral:tRNA from 1 species